AUCAACUUUCGAUGGUAGGAUAGAGGCCUACCAUGGUGGUAACGGGUAACGGGGUGUUAGGGCACGACACCGGAGAGGGAGCCUGAGAAACGGCUACCACAUCCAAGGAUGGCAGCAGGCGCGCAAAUUACCCAAUCCCGACACGGGGAGGUAGUGACAAUAAAUAACAAUACGGGGUUCUUUCGGAUCUCGUAAUUGGAAUGAGUACAAUUUAAAUCUCUUAACGAGGAACAAUUGGAGGGCAAGUCUGGUGCCAGCAGCCGCGGUAAUUCCAGCUCCAAUAGCGUAUAUUAAAGUUGUUGCAGUUAAAAAGCUCGUAGUUGAAUUUCGGGAUCAAAUUGUUGGUCGUGCUUCGGUACGCACUGGCAUUAUUGGUUCCUACCUUCUGAAGAACCGCGAUGUCAUUAAUUUGGUGUCGUGGGGAAUCAGGACUGUUACUUUGAAAAAAUUAGAGUGUUUAAAGCAGGCGCACGCCUGAAUACAUUAGCAUGGAAUAAUGAAAUAGGACGUUUGAUUCUAUUUUGUUGGUUUCUAGGAUCGACGUAAUGAUUAAUAGGGAUAGUUGGGGGCAUUAGUAUUCAAUUGUCAGAGGUGAAAUUCUUGGGAUUUAUUGAAGACUAACUACUGCGAAAGCAUUUGCCAAGGAUGUUUUCAUUAAUCAAGAACGAAAGUUAGGGGAUCGAAAGACGAUCAGAUACCGUCGUAGUCUUAACCAUAAACUAUGCCGACUAGGGAUCGGAUGAUGUUAAUUUUAUAAUGACUCAUUCGGCGCCUUACGGGAAACCAAAGUGUUUGGGUUC
rnacentral:rRNA from 1 species